rnacentral:rRNA from 1 species
CCUACGGGAUGCAGCAGUGGGGAAUAUUGGGCAAUGGACGCAAGCCUGACCCAGCAACGCCGCGUGAAGGAAGAAGGCUUUCGGAUUGUAAACUUCUUUUCGCGGGGACGAAGAAAGUGACUGUACCUGAAGAAUAAGCCACGGCUAACUACGUGCCAGCAGCCGCGGUAAUACGUAGGUGGCAAGCGUUAUCCGGAUUGAUUGGGGGUAAAGGGCGUGUAGGCGGGAUGGCAAGUCAGAUGUGAAAACUCAGGGCUCAACCUCGGGACUACUUUUGAAACUGUGUGGCUUGAGUGCAGGAGAGGUGAAUGGAAUUCCGUGUGUAGCGGUGAAAUGCGUAGAUAUACGGAGGAACACCAGCGGCGAAGGCGGAUUGCUGGACAGUAACUGACGCUGAGGCGCGAAAGCGUGGGGAGCAAACAGGAUUAGAUACCCGAGUAGUC